UACGUAGGGUGCAAGCGUUAAUCGGAAUUACUGGGCGUAAAGCGUGCGCAGGCGGCUUUGCAAGACAGAUGUGAAAUCCCCGGGCUUAACCUGGGAACUGCAUUUGUGACUGCAUGGCUAGAGUGCGGCAGAGGGGGAUGGAAUUCCGCGUGUAGCAGUGAAAUGCGUAGAUAUGCGGAGGAACACCGAUGGCGAAGGCAAUCCCCUGGGCCUGCACUGACGCUCAUGCACGAAAGCGUGGGGAGCAAACAGG
rnacentral:rRNA from 1 species